AAAAAUUAAUAAAAUAUGAUAACAGAUGGCGCCACUAAAAUUUUAAAUGUUGGUGUGUUUUUUUCCGGAAGUUACGAUUUCCGUUUUAGUUUUGGUUUGCUCCUGUAAAUACGUCGUAGAUUAAUUAAAAGACAGACAUUUGCACGUGAGCUGGCAAUAGAGUACAAUAAGAGAUUUCUAAUUCUGCUACCAUUAACAUACGUUAUUUUGAUUAUACGAUGGAUCCCAUUAGUAUUGCUUGCGUGGUUGGAUGUGCGUUAAUCGCACCCUAUGUAGUACCUGCAAUUUUUGCAGCUGUGGGAUUUACAGGAGCGGGUGUAGCUGCUGGUUCCGUCGCUGCAGGAAUUCAAUCGGCCGUGUAUGGUGCUGCGGUUCCUGCAGGCAGUAUUUUUGCAAUUGCUCAAAGCAUUGGUGCAGCUGGACUCGGUUAUGCCGGUGCUGCUAUCUACGGUACGAUAGGUGCAGCGGCAGGCGCUGUCGUUAGUGCGCUGUGGUGAUAAUUACCAUAGAGCUGUGUAGUAUGUUAAUGUACUGUAAUUUUAUCUGGAAUUUAAUAAACAUUGACGUAAUUUCCAGAAAUGUUGUAAUUGGUUUAUAUACUAAAUGUGAACUGUAUUUACUACAAACCAUAUAAGACCUAGGAAAUCAAGAAAACCAUGGCCGCCUGGAUACCUGCCAGGUGACGUCACAACAGGUUUGGUGACGUAGAAGAGUGAAUGCUUAAACGUAUGCUUAUAAUCGUUAAAACAGAAUUAAAAUAAACUGUAUAUAGGGUUUAACGUAGACGUAUAGUUUUUUGAGUCUGUUACACGUAAGAAUAUGAUUGAUUAUAUAUUUUAAAAAGUUUGGAAAAUAAAUGUAAAUUUCUAUUUUAUAAUGAUCUUAAGGUAAUGACUAGAAGUGAAGAAUGCUAAUAAUGAGACUGUGGACAUUUGAAUGGCUUCUAAAUGAUAUAACGCAUAAUUUGUAAAGUUUAUGCAUCUUUUUUCGUAAUAAAAUAAAUUGUUUACGAUUUAGAAAUAAAGUAUUGAAUUAUUAAAAGACUAUAGUCUUAGACUAUACUUCUACCUUCAACCCUUUCUUCCUCCCACUCCCUCUCCCUUCUCUACCCCACUCCAUGCCUUUCUUCCUCUUAUGCCUAAGUCUACGGACAGCCCUCUACCUUUAUUCCAGUCUUAGACUAUACAGAACGAAGUUCGGGUCUCUUCAAUA